AACGAACGCUGGCGGCGCGUUUAAGCAUGCAAGUCGAGCGGCAAGGGCCUUCGGGCCCUAGAGCGGCGGACGGGUGAGUAACACGUGGACAAUCUGCCCCCCGGCCCGGGAUAGCCCAGGGAAACCUGGAUUAAUACCGGAUGAGACGGGACCCGCGAUGGCGGGACCCGGGAAAGGCGCUGCGGCGCCGCCGGGGGAUGAGUCUGCGUCCCAUUAGCUAGACGGCGGGGUAACGGCCCACCGUGGCGACGAUGGGUAGCCGGCCUGAGAGGGUGGACGGCCACAUUGGAACUGAGACACGGUCCAGACUCCUACGGGAGGCAGCAGCUAAGAAUCUUCCGCAAUGGGCGAAAGCCUGACGGAAGCGACGCCGCGUGAACGAAGAAGGCCGUGAGGUUGUAAAGUUCUUUUCGGGAGGGGGAACAACCGUGGCAGGGAAUGGCCGCGGGAUGACGUGAAUCCCGGAAUAAGCCCCGGCUAACUACGUGCCAGCCGCCGC
rnacentral:rRNA from 1 species